AAAGUUGUUGCAGUUAAAAAGCUCGUAGUUGGAUCUCGGGUGCUAGCGUAUGGUUCGCUUUACUGCUGUAACUAUACGUCUAGUCCUAAUUAAUCGGUUGGCCGAUUAUGUCCUUUAUUGGGUGUUUUCGGUAGCCGGUACGUUUACUUUGAGAAAAUUAGAGUGCUUAAAGCAGGCCUUACGCCUGAAUAAUGUUGCAUGGAAUAAUAGAAUAGGACCUCGGUUCUAUUUUGUUGGUUUUGUAGAGCAUUGAGGUAAUGAUUAAUAGGGACAGACGGGGGCAUUCGUAUUGCGGUGUUAGAGGUGAAAUUCUUGGAUCGCCGCAAGACGAACAACUGCGAAAGCAUUUGCCAAGAAUGUUUUCAUUAAUCAAGAACGAAAGUUGGAGGUUCGAAGACGAUUAGAUACCGUCCUAGUUCCAACCAUAAACGAUGCCAACUAGCGAUUAGCUGCUGUUAUUUAAACGACACAGCUAGCAGCUUCCGGGAAACCAAAGUUUUUGGGUUCCGGGGGAAGUAUGGUUGCAAAGCUGAAACUUAAAGGAAUUGACGGAAGGGCACCACCAGGAGUGGAGCCUGCGGCUUAAUUUGACUCAACACGGGAAAUCUCACCCGGCCCGGACACUGUA
rnacentral:rRNA from 1 species